UUUUGUUGGGAAAUCUGAAUGCAUGAAUCAGAGCGAUGCCCGGUCCGGUGACAGGAUAGGGGCAAGAGGGUGGAUGGAGAUUGCCUUGGGCACGGGUGUGGGGGGCAACAGGGACCCCCACACCCCACGUUAGGAGAGGGUACUGCCCACAUGGGAAUGCUUUGGAAGUGGGGCUGUGUUUGGGACAGGGUGCCAUAACGGUGGGCGGGUGAAGAGAGCCAGCAUGACAUUGGCUAUAGGAAGAAAAGCACUUGUCUUCCCAAGAUUGGAUUUAGGGCCCCAAACUGCAAUUGGUCACCACUGUCACUGUGCUCAGCAGGGAUGGAAUUCCUGCCCUAUGACAUCCCCUUUGGUCCCCUCGCCCUGACAGCUGGUCCCCGGCACCCAUGGGUGGGCCUGGGCAGAUCUGCUCUCCUGCAGUGCCUGUUGUAGAGGGACGGGUUGGCUGGAAAGAAGCUGGGAGAUGAACAUGGGCAAACCCCAGCGCUUCCCGAGUGCAAAGCCUUGCCAGGGGCUGCUAUAGCAACUCAGCAAUAGCUGAGCCCACCCCAAUUGGGCUGGCGAAUGGAAGCCUUCGGCGUAGGCACUUUGGUGUCAUUGCCUUCAGCGUGUGCAGCCCUUCUAAGGACAAGCAAGGGGCUGGGCUGCUAAGGCUCCAACUGGCGUAGGGAUGAGGGUGACUCCAGCCCAUGGCCCAUGAGUCAUCUCUGUCCUGUCCCUCUCAGCACUGGGGGCAAAAAAACAAUAAUGGCACAGAGGCUGGAUUCAGUGCUGCUGACAGCAGGCGCUGAGCCACUGCUGGGGGAGUGGGACAGGAGGGGGCAGCCAGGCAGCCCCUGUGAAAUACUAGUUCUUGUGCCAAACCCCUUCCCAGCCCCUCUCCUCCUGCAGAGAUUCCCCUUCCCUCCUCUCCCUGCCGGUGUGCUUCCCUACUACUCCCCAGGGAGACUUUCCUCCCUGAAAAUCCUACUGCUGUUGACAUUAAACACGAUAGCAGAGUUUCCUUGGAGACGAGAGAAACAGUGGGCUCCAAAAUGCUGAUUAUUUCACGGUUUCUGGCUGGCUUUCAGUGAUGAAAUAAAAAGAAAAGAGUUGUGAUAGCAGAGGGAGCCCAGGGCAGCCUGUGUUGAGCAGGGCACUGACUCUGCUUUUCCAGUGCCACCUCUUUACACAGGGUUUCCUGAGUGUGCCCCAAGCAGCAGUGCAGCAGCACGUGCCAUGUCAAACUGGCUGCUCUGCGACUGCGCUGCCCCUGUUCCCAGGCCCCUGGAGGCCAAAAAAUUGGAGAGAAACUUUACUGUGGGCAGUUCUAAUUUGGCUGACUUCUGCCUGUCCCAGGAGUAAAACUGGCUAAUUAGAUUAACCCUUCUGUAUUAUUGUACAUCAGCGUUAGCAGCAGGGGGACAACAAUAUGAGUAUCAACAUUUGGAUCUUUCUCUCGUGUCCAUUUGUCCCAAGUGGUGACAGUGAAUUUUGUCCCAAGAUGACAGAACUUCAGCUUUGCUUUUACCAUCCCCAAGCCAGUCACUAUGGCAGGAGUGCCCUGCAGUGCCAUGUCCCAGUGGUGGUCAGAAGCUUGCUUGGCCUCGAGGAACAUCUCACAGAGGACCCACUAAACUGAUAGCACCCAUUCCUGCUGAGACACCUCUGGGGUCCCCACUCAGUCAUUUCAAUGAAGCAGCAUUUUCUGGUUUAUGUUUCAGACUGGUUUAAGAGUGCUGAGCAGGGUUUAGAGGGUGAGAGAAGAGGAGUGAGGAACCAGGUCUAGUUCUGUGCCAAUUAUGCAUAGAGACCUGCUCCAGGACACUGCUGGGGACAAUCCUGCUGAGCCUUGUCACACAGUGUGCCACCGUCCCCGGAGGAGCUCAAAGAAAGGGUAGAUGUGGCACGAGUGACAUGGUGUGGGGGGCAUGGUGAAGACGGGCUGAUACUCGGAUUAGAGGAUCUUAGAGUCAUUCCCAACCUGAAUGAUUCUGAGUCGAUGAUGAUGAGAUGGAGGGACCGCAGAAUGGCUGAGGUUGGCAUGGACCUCUGGAGAUCAUCUUGUGAGCAUCUCUGCUCAAAGCAGCAUCAACCAGAACUGGUUUCUCAGCACCAUUGCUCAGGACACGUCCUUUCAGUUUUCAACAUCUCUAAGGACAGAGAUCUCACAACCUUUCUGGGCAGCCUGCUCAGUGCUGAACCACUCUUACAGUGAAAAAGUGUUGUCUUAUGCAUGAAUUCUUGUAUUUCAAUCUGUGUCCAUCACAUCUCUUCUGAUCACCGGGCACUUAUUAGCGUCUGGUCCAUCGAUGCACACCGUGCUGUUAGUUGCCUUGUUCCAUCUGCACAGGGAUCCUGAAUUCCAGCUCCCCACCUCUCCGCCACAUCCCUGUGAGCCCAGCAAGAGUGCAGCCCUAUUGCUUUACAUGGAUCUCUACUUUCUACUCUUGAUCCUGCGGUGCUGUGCCCAUUCAUGCAGAGGCACUUCAGAGGAGUUCUCGUUUGUGCUGUUCUCCCCACAAAGUGUGAGUUAGUGCCUUUGUCCCUUAGUGCCACAUGCACACAUCUCUUCAGUACCUCCAGGGAGGAGGACUCCACCAUUUCCCUGUUCAGGCUGUUCCAACAACUGACCGCCUUCUCCAUUAAGUAAAUCUUCCUAAUGUCCACCCUAAACCUCCCCUGGUGCAACUUCAGGCUUUUUUCUCAUAUUCUUUCCCUUGUCAUCCAAGAAAAGACUGAUGCCCUCCUUGCUGCAACCUCCUCUCAGGCAUAAAAGUAUUUUAAGAAACCAGCCUUAGUGCUGAGCACUGAGAAAGGCUGCUGGUGGCCAACUGACAACUGGAUUGAACUUCAUUCACUGUGGCUCUUUGAGUCCAUCCAGUUCAAUGCACCCCAAAAUGUGGUUUGCCCCUGGCUGCCCGGGCAUACUAAGUUGAGCGUGCAUCACCAGCACCUCCAGACCCCUUUCUGCUGAGCUGCUCUCCAGUUUCUUGUCUCCCAGACUGUACCCAUGUCUGGCAUUGCUCAUCCCAAGUGCAGAACCCAACCAUUUCCUUUGUUGAUCUUCAAGUCAUUGCUAAUCUCUCUGUGCUCCAAUAUAUCCAAGGCUUCUUGUCCCUGCGCCUCCCAGUUUAGCACAAUGGGGAAAACUGCUUAGCGUGCACUUCUCUCCCGCAUCCAGAUAAUUGAUAGGAGUGGUGAAUACAGAGCUGAGCCCUGGAGAACAUCACUAUUGACCGUCUGCCACCAGCUGUAACCCCAUGCACUAUGACCACUGGAGCUCUACCAGUGCUCCAGUUCAUCACCAAGCAUAGCGUGAACUGUCCAACUCACAGCUGGUCAAUUUGUCCAGAAGGAUGCUGUGAGGGAUGGCACCAAAAACCCUACUGAAACCCAGAAUGGUCACAUCCAUCACCUUCCCUUCAUGCACCAUGACCUUACCCCGGAAGAUCAGAUCACUGAGGCAGGACUUUCCCUUGAUGAACCCAUGUUGACUAUUGGAUAGCAGCUUUGGUCUUUGAACAAAAUGAUAAAUGUCUUCCUUCCCCAUUUUUUACUUUCACCAUCUUCUGACUGCUGGCCUUAAAAUGGCCAACAUUCCACUGGUUAUGACAAACCUCAUUGCCAGGAACCAGGCAUUAGUUUUGCAACACUGGGCUUUCUUACAAAAUAUCCUGUGCUUCCUCAUCUAUCCUUGAAGUUACCUCCAGAGCUGCUCUCUUGAAUAUCUCAGUUCUGGCAGAGCAGAGGCUGAAGAAGCAGUCAUGAUUAGGAAAGCCUUCACCAAGAAAGCAAAGCUACCUUUUUCCUUCUGGGAAGGAAAAUCCAUGCCAUUGCAGACUGCUUGUCUGCAAGAAGUGUGUUUUGACAACUUACCGCAGCAGCUGGAGGACUUCCAGCUGAUGCAAUAGAGAAUAUUUACACAAUUUCAGGCUGGCGAUGCAGUGGGAAUGUGCUGUAGAGAGGGCUGCUGGAUUGCAAAAUGUACAGAUGGAGAAAGGCAGCUAGACAGCGAGAGGGUGGGGACAUCACAGAGCGGGUCCUGGUGAGCUCUUCUGUGCCAUGAGCAUUGCUCUGACAAGGCUGCUGAGCAUAUGGUGCAGCAUGGCAUCCUAGUGAUUCAUCCUGAACUUUCCUGCAUCAAAAUAGAGAUUUUGUUUUCUUUGCAUGAAAAUACUUCUUUCCUGGUACGUGUGGAUGGGGAGACAUCUGGAGAACAAAGCAGCCAGGGCAGGCAGAGCAGCGUGCAGGGGCCGACCAUGAGCGAGCAGAGCCACGUCAACAGCCUGUUCCUCAACGAGGACACAGCCAAGCGGCUCCACGCCGAGGGCCGGGUGCAGCGCCUGCGGCAGGCCGUGCAGAAGCGGGCGGCGCGGGCCAAGAAGAGGAUGAGCAGCAUCACUGCUGACAGCGCCAAGAGCUUCUUCCGCAGAAACGCCUUUGUCCUCUUCACCAUCGCCGCGGUUUUGCUCGGAAUCAUCCUGGCCUUUUCCCUCAGGCCCUACCAGCUGACCUACCGCCAGAUCAAGUACUUCUCCUUCCCAGGAGAGCUGCUGAUGCGCAUGCUCCAGAUGCUGGUUCUUCCUCUCAUUGUCUCUAGCUUGAUUACAGGAAUGGCCUCUCUGGAUGGCAGAGCCUCAGGGAAGAUGGGUAUGCGGGCUGUGGUCUACUACAUGGUGACCACAAUUAUAGCAGUCUUCAUUGGCAUCCUCAUGGUGAUCAUCAUCCACCCAGGCAAAGGAUCUAAGGACAAGCUUCACCGAGAAGGCAGAAUUGAGCAGGUUCAGACCACAGAUGCCUUCAUGGACUUGGUGAGGAACAUGUUCCCACCCAACCUGGUAGAAGCCUGCUUCAAACAGUACAAGACGCAGUACAGCACCCGAGUCUUCACCAGAACCGUCCUUCACAGCAGCAAUCUCACAGCAAGCGUGGCAACCACUCAGCUCCCUGCGCCUGAGAACUCCACCGGCAUCCUGGAGAAUGUCACGCAGGCCCUCGGGACCAUCUCCGAGGUGCUGAGCUUUGAAGAAGUCAUUCCCAUCCCGGGCUCGGCCAAUGGGGUGAACGCGCUGGGGCUGGUAGUGUUCUCCAUGUGCUUCGGUUUGGUGAUCGGCAGCAUGAAGCAGAAGGGACGGGCCCUGCGGGAGUUCUUUAACUGCCUCAACGAAGCCAUCAUGAGGCUGGUGGCCAUUAUCAUCUGGUACGCCCCAGUUGGGAUCAUGUUUCUAAUUGCUGGCAAAAUCCUGGAGAUGGAUGACCUGGCGGUGAUGGGGGGCCAGCUGGGGAUGUACACCCUCACCGUCAUCGUCGGGCUCCUCAUUCACGCCCUCUGCAUCCUGCCGCUGCUCUACUUCAUCGUCACCCACAGGAACCCCUGGGUAUUCAUUGCAGGGCUUCUGCAGGCCCUCAUCACAGCCCUGGGCACCUCCUCAAGCUCAGCGACUCUGCCCAUCACCUUCAGGUGCCUGGAAGAAAACAACGGCGUGGACAGGCGCAUCACGAGGUUUGUUCUGCCCGUGGGAGCUACCAUUAACAUGGAUGGCACCGCUCUGUACGAGGCCCUCGCUGCCAUCUUCAUUGCACAAGUCAACAACUACGAACUCGACUUUGGGCAGAUCAUCACAAUAAGCAUCACUGCCACGGCAGCCAGCAUUGGUGCUGCAGGCAUUCCCCAGGCAGGGCUGGUGACCAUGGUCAUAGUGCUGACGUCGGUGGGGCUGCCAACUGAAGACAUUACGCUGAUCAUCGCUGUGGACUGGUUCCUAGACCGCCUUAGAACGACCACCAACGUCCUGGGGGACUCUCUGGGUGCUGGCAUUGUGGAGCAUCUCUCCCGGCAGGAGCUGGAUGCGCAGGAAUGCGAACUCGGUAAUUCUGGGAUAGAGGAGAAAGAGCAGCCCUGCCAGCAGGUCUGCACACACAGCAACAUCCUCAGGCACCCCAGCAGGGAGACAGCGCUGUGAAGUCAGGCAGCAUUACACACUCAUGCUGUAUAAAGCCAAGACUUAAAGCAGAAGUCUUGGGGGCCAGAGAGGAGGACAGAACACGACAGACUUUCCAACAUCUACACUGUUCUCCCCAACAUGCAGUCUCCCCUGAUCCCUUUUAUCCCCCAUCUCUUUCUGAUUGACUUUAAAGAGGAGAAAAUUAAAUGGCAAAGAAACUUUUGUUCCAUGAAAGCCUGGUUUAAUCAUUCUUCCUGGAGCUCACGAGCUAGACCUGAGUAAACAAGGUGCAGUGGAUGAGCUGGACCAGGAGCUCCCUCCAUUGUAGUUGAGCUGAAGUUGAAGCAUAGUUAAUGGACAAGGUGGGCUGGUGACACCCCCCCUACGGACUGGCACCAGGAUGUUGGCACGAUAACUAUUGCUAAUCCUGCAGAUGCAGAGUAGCAAAGCCUUCACUUGGUCAGUGGCUUCCCUUCAAGAUUUUGGCAGCUUCGAGACCUCUGGUGGGCACCAGGGCUCCACUUCGACUCUUCAGUGGCCAGUGCUUGUGAAAAACCAGUGUUCUCCUUGUGUGCACUGCCAGCGUUUGCACAGUGACACCACCGAUGCCUCCUGAGGUCUCCUCACCCCUCUGGCAAUCCUUCUGGCUGUGGGUACUGAGGUCUUCUAUCUCUCAAAAGAAGAUGGGACCAAAGAAUAGGGACAGGGCUGUGCUGGUUGGCAGCACAGAGGUCAGAAUGGCUUUCCAUUCAUGGAAGCAGUGAAUUAUGAAAGCAGCAAACAAAUAAUGGAACGGAUCCACUGUCCAGCCUUUGGACCAGUUCUCCUCUCAGCCAAGCUCUGCCGAACAGUUCACUUUGUUUCUUCUAAACAUCUCUUCCCUUAGUGAAAGCAGAAGGGGAAUUGCAAAGCUUAAGAGCAGUGCCUCCCCGAGCAGCUGGUGCUGCCUGCGUGCCAGGGCUGCUCUGUGCCAGCUGUUUCUCAGCUCAGAGGCAGGGACAAAAUCACAGAGCUGUCCUGUGCUCUUCUUGCAUUAAUUACCUUCAUCCAUGCUGAAGUGUCGCAGGGAGAAUGCUGCUGUCUUGGGCUUUUCUCACACUUAAAGUAUGCUUAAGCUGUGCUAUCAAAGCUGGUCGGACUGUGCCUGCAGCAUUUGCUGCUAAAACAAGAGAAAGGCGACGGUCUGUUUCUCACAAAUUUUUAUAAGCUUUGAUUUUGGAGUCCAAUUUUUGAGGCAAAACUGAGCCCUCCAGGCAGAAGGCUGGAACACGUGGUGUGCAGCACUGUUUGUUACUCUCCACAUUCAAGUAAAGGAUUACGAAUGUUCUGAACAUCCGAGCAGCUCCUUGGGCAGCAAUUCUGGGAGUACAGCUGCAGACUAAACAGAGGCAGUUCUUUCAGUAUGCCCUCUCAGAUUAUUUGUCCAACUUCUCAAGAAAGCAUUGAAUUCUACUCCUGAAGAGACUUCUUGUAUAUAUAUAUAUGUAUAUAAAGGGCAAACCAAGGGAUGAAUUGGAAGACAAGGAGAGAUGGUUGGAUUGGACUCUAGCUCAAAUGAAAUUAAUUCUGGGAAGCCCUACGGCGUGGGUUGUGCAGAGAGGCAGAUGAGUUGAUCAUGAGUGUCCCUUCUGGCUUUGUAAUAUAUGCACAUGCUUUCUGGUUUAGAGGUACUGCAGAGGCUCUGCUGAUUGUUUCCAAAAGCUAUCAGAAAGGAUCCUUAUGGUAACUUCUCUGAACUCAGCAGGACUCUGACCUGUUUUCAGUUGCUGUUAGCAGAUGUAAGCCUGUCACAAAGGGCUCUCAUACUGCAUUGCAUUGGCAUCAUCUCACUUGUUCCCACCAGGCAGCAUGCCCCAAGCCUUGCCAUGUGAUUUCUUGCCUUCAACAAAAGGUUAACGAGCACAGAUGAGUAGAUGGCUCCUUUUCCAAUCUUGCAGGCCAGUUUGCUGUGAGGAGUUUCAGAAUAUUUUUUUGCUGUGGUGUCCACCCAUGUUGUGGACCAAUCUAUGAUCAGCAUUAUCCAUUUGUUUACAACACCCAAGCAGUAUGGUCAGGAAUUUGCUUAUAUAUGCACAAAUAUCUACAUGCAGGUGUGUGUGUGCCUAUGAAUGGGGUGCACACGUACAAACACACACACAAUCAUUCUGCUGCUGAUCCAAGGACAGGCAGUGCUGAACCCUCACUCUGUGAGGUUGCAUCCUUAAUUUGACACCCAGUGUGAUUUGCAAAACUACUCCCAUCCCUAAAACAACAGAAACUGUUUGACAUUACAGUAAUGAGUCUUCUAAAGCAAGGUUUAUUAGGAAGGAGCUAAUUGUGCUGACUGUGGGCUGUGGCUGCUCCCAGUGCGUACAUCCCAAGGUCUCGGGUCCCCACACUGUCCAGCUUUGCAAGGAGGCAAGCUUUCAAGUGCUCAGCCAGGAAUACAGAAGUGUUUGUACUCCUUCCAAGCUCAAACUCUGACCUCGUACCAACUCAGCCUUCAGAACUGCGCAACUGAAAACAUGAAAUCAUGUUAUCAGCUGUCUUUUUAAGUCAUCGGCUAUUUGGGAACGUGUGCGGUCUUUUCUUUACUGCAGUACUGCUGCUUCUAGUUGCAGAAACACAGCGAGUUUCUUCUCGUGGCAAAUAAUUUAUCCCUGAUGAUUGGGUGGGCAAUGUUUGGGCUGAAACGGGGAGCUGCUCGAUGCACACAGCCACAAGGAGCUCUUGGAUCAGGACACAUCCCUUCAGAGGGAAUUUAGGAGAGCAAAGACAUGGGACGCAGGUUUUCACACAGCGGGCCGCAGAUUCAGCACAUGGUAGUUGUGUUCCUUCAGGGGCCGGAUCUGCCCAUGGAAUCCAGAAUCACGAAAUCUUUUGCUCUCCGCAGGGGUGAAGGCGGUAACUGGAACUCACUGCUGCAGUGUCGUCGUCGCAUUCGGGCAGUUUGACUGUGUUAAUUGCCAAGGCCUUUCUUUCCAUGCUGUGAGUUUCAGUGUCAAUAAAGAUAGUUUGCAGAUUUGAAAAAUAAAGGGAAUCUUUUUCCACA